rnacentral:lncRNA from 1 species
CCGCUGCUGUCCUGACAGGGCGAAGUCCUGUCCAGGCGCACGUGAUGCUCCGCUCGCGGCAGCGGCCCGAAGGCCUGCACGCAUUUGCCAGCCGUCGCUUUGCCGUAAAAGGACUCAUUGUCCAGCGUCUCCAUAACGUGCUCCAACGCGCCUCCUGUGCCCAUGUAAAAGUCACUGUUUUUACUUGGCGGGCUCUUCAGGGCAAACUUCUCGCUCAGAAACUCCAUAAUCCUGGAAAGGCUGUCCGCGAGCUCUCCGGGGCGUGCGGAGGCUGGAGGGCGCGGAGGGAGGAGGGAGCAGUGGGCGGGAGUAGGGAGGGUCAGAGAGGAGGGAAAGGGGAAGCGAGACCUGCGACGCCAGGAGCUGCCCAGCUCCCAGACUCUUAAUACGUCCCGGCUGCAGAAGGGGCACCCGAAGUUGCUUUUAUAUCUUGAAACUCAGCUGGGCUCCUCCGGCAACCUCCCAGUCCUAAUGAAUAUGAAAAUAGACAAAUGCCAGGAGAGACAAGGACACCCAGAAUCGUAGUCGCCUCGACAGUGGGACUGGCAUUGCCGAGGAGCCUGGUUUCAAGAGUUGGGGCGGUGCCUUCGAAAAGAGUGUUGCAGAAGCUAGUGGCUCCGCGGACUGGGGUUGGACUCACAGUUGCGGACCCAAAACCCUUCCUUGGUCCAGCUGACCGGGAUGCUAGCGAAGAGGCCUUCCACAGCGGCUGCCCCUUUUCUCCGGGUUACGUUGGCAAUUACAGCAGAGCCUUAGUCACUUCGGGUAACCUCGCCGCUGCGGGUGGCCUAGCCCUUUUCAGUCGGGUGUCUGUCCGCCAAGGUUCGGAAAUUUCCACAUUCUUCUUCGUCCUCGAUCCACAGGUGGGACCCUCAUUGACGCCCGACCUGGACACAGCUUGCGAGCAAAGAUCCCAGGCACAAUGUUCUGCACAACUGUUGCUUAGCACUGCCCCAAAGGCGGGGCUGCCAGUGAAAAAUGAAGAUUCCAUCCGACAGGACCUGAGAAAAAGUGUCAGGAGCAGCAGCCAUGUUCACCCGGUUCACCACAUUUCCUCCCCAAGAACGGACCCUUUGCUGAGCUACCACCAAUUGACACCGUUUUGCCUUUUAACGGGUUCUAUGAUAUUUUUAAUUGUUUUCUCCGGAGCCUUGAGAUAGCACCAUCAACAAUGAACUGACGAACUUCCAAGAGUGCGGGGGGGGGGGGGGGGGAGGUUAAAGAAAAGCAGGGACUGUCCUGGGCUCUAGCGGAAGGGGAGUCAGGGCUCUAAGAUGGGCAUUCUCCGAAGUGCGAGGCGUUGCUUGCUCCACCUUCUCUGGGGUGGCCUGCAAGUGGGGAGGAAAAACCCAGGAAAUGUGUGCAUCAAGUUUGCUUACAAAGAGAGAAGCUGUAUUCUUCUUGACCCUUUAUCAGAUUGUUCCUGGUGGAAGGUAGACUGAGUUGAGUUGGCCACUCAUUCCUUGUUAGCUUGGUCAGUUUGCAGGAUCUCCCUUUUAAAUCUAUCUUACCUCUAAAUAUUCUGAAAGUCUGCUUUGCCCUAAUAAACGCGAGAAAGAGGAAAGAAACAAACAACCUUUGAUGGGUCUUUCAAAUAUUCACAGCGGCAAGCGCUCCUAUGACUGAUGAAGAACUAUGCAGAGAAUUCUCAGUUAUAAACGUAGCUAUGUCAUGGAGCUUUGUCUGUCUGUUUAUAAAUAUGCGUUUUAGGAGCCCCAAAUUCCCUGAAAAACAUUCGGUGUCUUUUAAAUCAAAGACAUAUGAUACAAGCUCUCCAGCACUUGUAUACCAAUAGACUAGGUCCGAUUUAGGGGGAAACUUCUGUGUAGUCCGGGUCAACUGCAGCUUCGGAAGCCUUUUCCACCCCAUUACCCAAACCCACUUUUGACCGAAGUGGUUUCAGGGGUGGGGUCCAAGGUGUCACCCACCCACUUCAGAUCCCGGAAACCUCCUGAAAAUUCAAAUCUAUUACACGGAACCCCCUUGCGUUUUGUGACAUGUAACCACAUGAGCCCAUAACAGAGGCAACAGUUAAUGGCAAACUCCCAUAACGAAUGCAUAAUCUGCAGGUUUUGGCAAGAAGCUGGGU